GAUAAAAUGAGAGUAGGUGAGAUUCGAUGUUUCUUUCUAAAGCACAAGCAAGUUUUGUAGAAUUUUUAUACAUUGUUCGUGCGCUUUUUUCCAUCGCGGGAACUCAAGGGGAUAAGUCUGCCCUUUUAGAGGUAACUGCAUAAUUGGAAAAUUAGAAGAGAAGCAUGGAUGAAUCUCAUUAAUCAGUUAGACUUAAUGAAGACGCCGGGCGCUUGUCCGACGUCUUUUU
rnacentral:sRNA from 1 species